CAAAUGAGCCAUUCAUUUUACAUGGAAAGGGAUCAACCCCAAAUUUCAAUCGAUCGACUUGGGAUCCGGUCGAUUCUCCUGAGGUGGUCGUUGUACGAUGUUCAGAAUAUUUCGCAUGGUGGGAGACCUCGAGAUACAUGCAAAUACGUAAGAAAGAACUAGUUCGGCGUAUUAGUUGUAUAUUUAUAAUAUUUUUUCAAUCUCUCUUCAUUUAUAUAUCAUAUGGAAUGGUGACGUAGCAAUCUAGGGUUGUCCUCACCAGUAUUGAUUCCUCACUUUUUUGGUUUGGUCUUACAUAUUUCUACUGUUACUGGCUCGAAGCUCAAACUCGGCACGAGAUCAAGCUUGUGAACUUAUAGAGUCGUGGUUUUGUCUAAGAUCUAGGCUGGUCGUUAAGCUUAUUUGUAUCCCUAGGAAGUAGUGACAGACAAUUCCAAAAAUUUACCUUUCCAAUUCCAUGCAUAACUGGCCCAAGUCGGCUCGCAGCCUCGUGGAACUCCUCGGGUGUUUUUAUCUAGAAGGUUAUCGUUUAGUGGCUACAGUUGGGGACAGGACAGCAGAUUGAUUUUAAAAACAUGUGAGGUGUCCGGAGAGCUAGUCUCCCCUUAAGGAAUUCCAGCGAGGGGAUAUUAUCAAGGAAUUCCAGUAUUAAUUUUAAUUUAUUUGUUCACAGGGGUCAUGGUCGGUAGAUAUCCCCAUGACCUCAUAUCUGUUCAUGAGACAGAGGAUAGUACAAUCCAAACAAGCAACCUAUUCAACAACUUGUGUACGUACAUUGGAAUAAAAUCAAUACACUUGGUCGUCGUUUUCCUCUGUUCAUCGACACACCUGGAAUAAAAUCAAUAAACAUUGAUAAAAAAUUGUUAGUAAACUUGAGGUUUCGUCGGUAUCUGGUCUGAUGAUUAACGGAUAUCGGAUAUACCUUUGAUCAGGAGAUAGUUGUUAAGCUGAUUUGUUCAAUUGCUUAAUGGAGCAAGGAGUAGAGCUGGAGCCAAUGACGGUCGCGGAAGUGUACUCGACGGAGGAACUUGGAUGUUGAUAAUAACGAAAAUUUAGGUUUGAAUCCAUAAAAAAGAGUUUUUUAAAGGGCAUACAAUACAGUUUUCUCGAUUUUCGAGCCCAACUGGAAUUUAAAACACAAUUUUAAUAAGUCUUAAAAUUAAAUAAGCAUCAUAAGUGGUCCCCUGGUCCGGACCACUCGUCCAUCUUAGUAAUUGGGUGUGAAAUCUUGAUAACGAAUAGGAAGGAACCCUAAUUAUGCGAGUCAAUCUUCCCCCAUUAAUGUCGAGUGCCUCUCUUCACUUAUCGUCAUUUCUAGCUUGAUCGCAUCGAUAGAUCAAUUUAAGACAAAUCAAAAUAAUCGAAUUUUGAGGCAAAAAACUAGCUAAAACAGAACCAGGUCCUUAUUACACCUUUUGAAAUAUUUUUAUCAUGCACAAUAAAUGUUAAGUACAGUUUAUAUUCUUCAAAGUACAAGGAACGCCAAAAUUGUUUCAAAUUAUAAAUAAUUUCCAACAAAUUAAUUACUCCUUAAGUGCCAAAUAUCAUUAUUUGAAAUCCAGUUAUAUCAUAAACAUUGUAAUUAUGUUUGCAGGUAAUAUUAAUACAAUGAUUAGUUUGGAUCCACACUCACAUUGGACGGAAUCGUCAUCUACAUAUUACAUAAUAACACAGGCAGAAAGAUUUAGCUGACA
rnacentral:lncRNA from 1 species